rnacentral:rRNA from 1 species
GACGAACGCUGGCGGCGUGCUUAACACAUGCCAGUCGAACGGAAAGGCCCUGCUUUUGUGGGGUGCUCGAGUGGCGAACGGGUGAGUAACACGUGAGUAACCUGCCCUUGACUUUGGGAUAACUUCAGGAAACUGGGGCUAAUACCGGAUAGGAGCUCCUGCUGCAUGGUGGGGGUUGGAAAGUUUCGGCGGUUGGGGAUGGACGCGCGGCUUAUCAGCUUGUUGGUGGGGUAGUGGCUUACCAAGGCUUUGACGGGUAGCCGGCCUGAGAGGGUGACCGGCCACAUUGGGACUGGGAUACGGCCCAGACUCCUACGGGAGGCAGCAGUGGGGAAUAUUGCACAAUGGGCGGAAGCCUGAUGCAGCAACGCCGCGUGCGGGAUGACGGCCUUCGGGUUGUAAACCGCUUUCGCCUGUGACGAAGCGUGAGUGACGGUAAUGGGGAAAGAAGCACCGGCUACUACGUG